rnacentral:rRNA from 1 species
GAUGAACGCUGGCGGCGUGCCUAAUACAUGCAAGUCGAGCGAAUGGAUUAAGAGCUUGCUCUUAUGAAGUUAGCGGCGGACGGGUGAGUAACACGUGGGUAACCUGCCCAUAAGACUGGGAUAACUCCGGGAAACCGGGGCUAAUACCGGAUAACAUUUUGAACCGCAUGGUUCGAAAUUGAAAGGCGGCUUCGGCUGUCACUUAUGGAUGGACCCGCGUCGCAUUAGCUAGUUGGUGAGGUAACGGCUUACCAAGGCAAGGAUGCGUAGGCGACCUGAGAGGGGGAUCGGGCACACUGGGACUGAGACACGGCCCAGACUCCUACGGGAGGCAGCAGUAGGGAAUCUUCCGCAAGGGACGAAAGUCUGACGGAGCAACGCCGCGUGAGUGAUGAAGGCUUGCGGGUCGUAAAACUCUGUUGUUAGGGAAGAACAAGUGCUAGUUGAAUAAGCUGGCACCUUGACGGUACCUAACCAGAAAGCCACGGCUAACUACGUGCCAGCCGCCGCGGUAA